AGCGUCCUCAUUGGCUGGGGACGCUACCAAUCGGGAAGCGCAGGGAAGAGGCUGGAGCGGCGCGUGUCCGGCUGCCGGGCCUCGGAGAGCUCCCGGGCCGCUCCCUGCGCUGCAGGCCCCCGGCCUUUGAUAACGGACUUCUUACCUCAUCACUGCUCCAUCUAUUGGGGAAUGAAGGACGGAGCUUCUUGAUGCACACAACUUCCCGCAUGUCCUCAUAGGAGGGGUCAGUGGGCACAAGAUCAUAGUAUGGAAGCUGGUAUUCUUCAACUAUUCCUGAAAGAAACAUUUUCCAGAUGCAUCAUAACUGCAGGAUAAAAGGAUGUCUGCACUGUAUCAACUACACCCUCUUAUAGACACGAUCCAUGCAAGCUAUUCUGUACUAUUAUCUUAUGGGUCUUAUCUUAUUAUAUUAUGGGUCACUAUCCUAGGAAAUGUGGAAAAGUCUAAAACAGCAAUGGGAGGGGCUCUCCCCCAAGGUUAGUUUAUUGCAACCGCAACCAAAUGAACAAUAUGUUUGUCAUUUACCUCCCGACACACCUCUCCUUGCUACCUCCCAAAGGAUGAGUCCAAAACUGUACAUAUCAGCCAUGAUAUACGACUGGAAGUGAUUCCUAUUCAGGCUUUCAUCCAGCACCUCAGGAGGCAUAUAGCGCUUUGUUCCUACCCGGGUGUUUGGUGGUAUGUCCACCUCAUUUGUAUCACUAAAAGAAAAAAAGGAUCAAACAAACAUAACUUGUGGCACCUUAGAAACGAAGUGAGCUACAGCUCACUUCUAAAGAGCAAUAAAUGGUUGGCUCUAAUACAUGCGCUGAAUUUGAUUUGUAGGAAAUGAAACAAAAAGCAGCACAACCAGCGUACUUUUCAAUACAUCCCAAUUAAUUAGUUACAUGGGCAGAUUAUUUGUUGGAUCACAAAUUUAACACUCCGCCCUCCAUCCCGGUCUCUGCUCUCUCAGCAUGCAGUAAUAUACAACUAUAAACUCAGGGUUGUGACACACAGAAAUUUGUUACUCACCUAAUAAAUUUAACUGCCAAGCCCAGGUCUGCUAUACAGCAGGUUCCAUUCUUUUUCACGAGAAUGUUCUUACUUUUCAGAUCACGGUGGGCAAUAGCUGGUUUGCCUUGAGUACUGAAGAUCUCAGUGUGCAAGUGGCACAAGCCACUAACUGAGGAAUAGGCCAGUUUUAGCAUGGCUUUUGUAUCCAAGGUAGUGGAUUUCAGAUAAUCGUACAGGGAGCCAUUCUCAUGGUAGUCUGUGAUAAGAUACAGUUGGGUCCAAGACCCUGUACCUUUAAUGUCUGCAGCAAUGAACCCUGUGGGGGGGGAAAUAUUUUCAGAUUAAUAUUUUUCGGGGCUUUUGAACACCACACACUUAAAAAUGUGGAUUAUACUGCCUGAAAAAAGUCUGCAAUAAUUACUCCGAGUGAUUGUAUGGCUAUAUUAAGAACAGCCCCUGCUAAAAUUUAUCAAUGCUUUCUGUCUAAUCCCCAGAUUAAGGGUUAAACCUGCGCAAGGGGCAAGGUCUGCUCAGUUCUUGGUCACUCCAGGGAUGAGACAUACUUCCCGGCAUAGCGUGGCCCAACAUCGCCCCCUACAAAGAGCUCUGCUACAUGGUGUUGUUUUUUAAAAAACCCCAGAUGCAGGUGGGAGAAACAGGUGUAUGGUUGUUGGGGAUUACAGCCUCCCAAAUCCAGAUACUCUCUAUCUGCAGGGAGACCCUUAAAAUUAUUUUGCAUGAAGAAAAGGACAUCAGCAAAUACAAAGUUAUUACUGAGAAUAAUGAAGAAACAUUUCACUCGCUUACCCAAAAUGUUUUCAUGCCUCAUCAGGACAGUCUGAUAGAUUUCUGUCUCUCUGAACCAGCUGGCCUCCUCAGUGGUGAAGAACACUUUUACAGCUACCUUUUCUCCACGCCACUUUCCCAUCCAAACUUCUCCAUAGCGACCUUUCCCUAUCUGUUUCACCAUCUGAAUCUGCUUUGCUAUAGUCCUUUGGACCUGUUAAAUCCCAAGAAAUACAGUUUAAAUAUACUCCUCAACAGGUGUGUUUCAUCUCUCUUUGUCUGUCUCCUUCUCGCAUGCUAAAACAUAGGAACCCUCGCACAAAGAGCUGGAAUGCACGGGCCUCGCACAGAGUUGGGAGAGAUGGAAUCUCCCGCUGCUUCCCAGAGAAUGGAGUACUCGCGCGGGCACUCUGGUAGUCUGGCCACACCUAUAAGCACACGUGACUUUAUGCCAGUGGAUCAGCAUAGGCAUAGAUCUACCUGACAGUUUCAAACAUAGGAGCUUAAAGUCAGGAUCCCCAAAAAACCCGAAUUAGCAUCCUAGGAAACGUUAAUGCUAAAUGAAAAGUUCUGGAAAAAAAAUCAAUUUGGAAUGCAGCAUUUGGAUAUUUCCAAACUGAAACAAAAUAUAUUGAUGAGUAGGCCAGAGGGGAGACACUGGUGCGUCAUGGAAGAUACAGUCCAACCAGGGAGUCUAGCCCUUAGGCAAAUGGAAAAAUUUCAGCAACAUCAACAUUUUCCAAUGGAAACCACAUUGACUUGAAAAAACAGGGACAAAAUUCCCAACCAGCUCUAGGAACUGCCCUGAUUUUUCAAAAUGCCGUGUACCCAGCAGCUCUCAUUGACUUUAACAGGAGACAAUAGAAGAUGCUCAGCGCCUUUAAGAACCACAGCUGGGAUUUUCAGACGUGUCAGCCCCCAACAACGAGUGAAGUUUACUGAGUCUCUCUCAAAAAUCCUACCCCGGUUUUUAAUUAUGAGCCCACAUAUGGAUUUGGGAGCUGAAUUCUGGGCUCCUAUUUGUAAAAAUGUCAGCCACAAGUUUUUAGUUAGAGUUUGCUAAAACGCAGGCGUUAGGAAGCCUGGGUGGCUACAAACAUAUCAUUAUUAUUCAUAAAGAGUAUUUUUCUCCGAAACAUUAAUUUAGGAGCACAGCGUAAAAUCUGUGUUUAUGCACUGACAUCAGUUUCAUCAAGUAGCUUCGCUCUAAAUAAAAGCUAGAUUCAAAGCACCUGCUGACAUAUACCAGAAGUUUCGCGCAGCCGACAGCACCGCAGAGUAAUUUCUGAUGAGGAUGACAGAUCAGACACAGAGUUAAGGAAGACUGACCGCUCAUACACUCAGCAACUAAACCUGUUAUGACUAAAAAAUCCACCUUGGGCGAUUACAGACUAACUUACCCUCUUAGGAAUGAGACAUGUCUGGAGGCUAUAUAUUCUGAACAAUUCACAGAAGAAAACUAGAGUAAAAGUUGUGAUCCAGCCUACAAAUGCAUGAAUGUUCACAGCUCUAUUUCCCAGUCACAAGACAGUACAAUAGAAUAUUGAAAUGGCAACCGCUGGUGCCUCAGUAUUACCUGUUCAAUCCUGAGCCGAAACGUUCUGGCUUUUGUAGGAAAUAUUUUAAAACAAAAUUUUGUAAUUGAGUCCAGUGCAGUUGCAUCUUUCUGCACCAGGCAUUAUAUUUAAAUAUUAAAGUAUAGAUUUUGCCUUCGCCCAUGUAAAACUCUGAUGAAAUUCAAUGCACUCAAAUAGCAGUGUUAUCUGAACGCUUAAUGAGUUACAUUAAUUCAAUGUCCUCCCAAAACAUUCUGAUAAACAAGGCUGCUAAAAAUAAAUAUUCAAAACUGGAUUUCAAAAACAAUUUGCUACGCUUUCAUUUUCUCUGAAACUGACCGCAAUUCAGUGCAAGCUGUCACAUUCCUAAUGAACACAGACCAGGUCUGAAAUGGUUCAGCUCCAGUCUGAAUGCAUGUGAAACCUGUCAGGUGAGGUCUGUUUUCAUUUAUGUUAAACUAUGAUGUUUAAACUAUUUUUAAAUGGAAAAAAUAACCGAACCUGUGUAACAACAACUCUGCAAGUUCCUUUUCUCUGAUUUGCAUGCAAAUGGAAGCUGAAUUUUUACAGACCGAGUAUGUAUUAUCACACUAUCCGAUGGUGGCUUCAGUGCAGUUAUUUUGAUUUACACCAGUGCAAGCCAAGAACAGAAAUUGAGCUUAAGUUGUUUUUAAACUGGUUUAUUCUCCUUUAUACUUUGAAGUAGUGACUGAACAGUUCUAUUACACUGGAAUUUUUCUUUCACAUUUUGUAAUAUAAUUUUAGCGUUGUUGCUUUCCAAUUUUCCUACUUUAAAGAAUACAUCCUGAAAAAUAAUGGAAUUAUAUUGUAUAACUUAAUUUGUGUAAAUAUAUGUAAUGGCAUCAUAAAGCACAUGCAAUUGCCAUAUUUAAUGAUGAAAAGUUCCUGAUUAAAUUAUAUUAAGAAAAUGAAAAUCACAUUUCUGUUAUGAGUUUUCAAAAGGCGGAAUACUACAUGGAAGACCUUAAGUUGGUUUCUUCCUACUAGAGCUGGUCAAACUAUUUUGUUCAGUUUAUUUUAUUUCAUGCAUUUAGUUCUUUUUCUGUUCAUAAAUGGCUUGUGAUGUUUAAAAAUAUGCUUGUUAUUCUAAAUUGUUUGACAAACAAAUUUUACAAACAUUGUUAUGGAUUGAUUGUAAACUGUUCACAGUGAACAGUCCAUUCAGUUUUCAAUAUUUGUAUUUUUCUACACAAACAUUGACACUGGUCAGUUAAGGAAAUAGGACAUUUUGCUUCUCUUCUCUGACGGGAUGAGCUAAAUAUUUACAAACUACUUCCGCUGUUGCUUGAAUAGAAUUUUGUUUUGUCACAAAAGCGGUUUUGCAUCAUGAAUGAAAACAUCUCGGCGAAAGGCACAAAACUUGCUGUUUGUAAAAUUCAUACAAAGUUUUGGUCACACGAACGUUUGUGACCAGAGAAUUUUGCGACCAGAACUGUGAUGCGUUCAAUCAAAAACCAACCAGUAUUUAUACAUGUAAUGAUAAAAAUGUACGAGUAAGAUUAAUUGAACGUCCUGUGUCUGUUGUGGCAAACUCCACGAGCUAUUGAAACAGCUCUACCUUCGUAUACCUUGAAAAUGGCUUGGUUCUGUGCUUUUGGCCCUGGUUUUGCAGCUUCUUGGAGGCCCAUUGAGGUAAAUGGAGCUCUGCCUGGAGGCAGAGAUUUGCCUGUGUAACCCAGCUUGCAGGGUAGGAACCUUUAUUUACAAAUUUUUAAAACGCUUCAGCAGGGCUUAGAAGUUGAAUGGCAACAUUCAACCUGCAGCAAACUUUUAUGCUAGAGAUACAAUCACCUAAAAAAGGCACCCAACGGCUCACAGUGGUUUCUCACAGCAACAUUUACACUACCUUAAAUAUAUGGGCUUGACUAAGAGCCACCAUAUAAUUAUAAAUAAUACAAGUAAAUCUGAGAGAGAAAAUGAACAAGGUUGAAUGUCAGAGAAACGAUAGUAUCUUGGUUAAGGUUUGGCUUUGUUGUAACCUUUGUAUCCGAUAUAAUAAGCGAGCUACAAAAGAAAGACAAUAUUGUUUAUCAUAAACUGACAUUUUACAAGUUCUGAAAAAAAAAAUGGUUUGCUUUCUCUGAAACAACUUUAAAUGUUUUCUAUUGAAACAAAUAAUAAAGAAGCUGGACAUAAACACUUUUAAAAUGAAGGAUAGUGUUUUUCACCAGACUUCAUUGUGCGUAUUUGUUACAGGCAUGGGCGUCCCCUCUUGGACAAUAAGUAUCAAUCCAUGCACUUCUAAGCUGCCUAUUGCUGUGAUAACUAUCUGACAAACAUAUCUUAUUGUGUUCACCAUAGCAAAAGCUUUAGGGCUGCAGUGCAACUUCCCCAUCAUGAACCUGUUUUCACAGUCUUACAAUUGUCUUAGAAAAUCACUGUUUGCGGUAAAAGUUUGAGGAAAACCUGUUUAUGACUUUUUAGUUAGGCAAAGGGGCAGGAGGAAGCGAGGAAUAUUUCCUGAUUUAUAAAAGAAAUUACAGGCAGGGCAAACAGAGCCCCAGCAGCUGAAUUCUACAUGCUCUCAGCAGCAGAUCCUGCAGUCUGCUGAAGAGAGUGGGGCUCACGCUGCCAAUGGGAUCAAAGGACCUGGACAGUUUGACGGUUAACCCACCCUACCUAUGCCCAGUUUAAAAAAACAACAACAAAACUUAGGGAGGUGGGUAAAAACACAUUUGGAAAAACCAUAUUGCUCCAACCAGCUCUACUUUUUCUUCUUUUAUUUCUGUCAUUAAAAGCCUUAGGAAACUAAGUGCAAAAAUCUACAUUAAGGCUGUGUUAAGGCUAUGGAGUAUACGGUAAUAUUCUGUGUCCUGAUUCGAAAUGCAGCAGCCCAUCUGCUUAGCAAUCUGGGUUGCUGUGAACGCAUUCAGCCCAGUACUCUGCUCUCUGCACUGGAUCCCCAAUGAAUGUAGAAUCCAGUUUACAGUCUAUGGCCUGUUUUCCUACUGCCUCCAUGGAAAUGCCUUUGGCUACCUGAGAGAUUGACCCUCUCAUGCAAUGGCUAUGAUCUCCCUUGACAGCUAUGUUUCACUGGAACAAUGAAACUGCCGGUCAAUACAGAGAGGUUUGUGAGAGCGGCAGACAGAGCUUUCGUAGGAGCUGGAUCUACACAAUGGUGCUCAUGACCACGCCCGGUAAGAAUAACUCCGGACGUCACCAUUUUUGGAAUCAAUUGCAAAGCUCAUUCUGCUGCUCAUCUGUCUGUCAAUGGUCAUGUUGACAUUUGGAAAACCGUCUGUGUUUCAAAACAUAACAUUUUAAUUAAUAUGAUUUUAAACAGGACUUCGCAGCUACUAGAGACUGGACAAGUUGUAUUUAAAAGCAAGUUAGUUGGUUGUGGUCAAUCCUAAACUCCCUCCCUAGUUUCAACACAUUGUAAAACAUGACCUACACUCUUGGUCUAGACGUGGCCAAUAAGUUAAUAUAAAUGUGAACAAAUUGAGCUAUUCUCAUUUAGGCAGUGAAAGAAGAAAGAAAGAGUAACAGUUAUUGUUAUUUCUAUCUUUAAGUAUUCGGAAGUUGCUCAGAUAUUACGGUGAUGCAUGCUUUAUAUGGAGGUAGACAGGAGCGAUGUAUAACUUCUCAGCUAUGCAUUUUGAAAAUUACAAGAAAAGAAAUGACUCGUUUUAAAAGGUAGUUUUUAAAAUAAGUAUCUUGAGUCUUCUGCGAUGCCAGGAAGUGCAGGAGGUCCAAGGUUGUCAGGUUAUCAGAAAACUAAAACACAGAUGAAUGGAAAAGCCAUGAGCUUUACUCUGAAAUCUAAACCUUCUCGCUGAAACGGAACCUUCUUUAGUACAUUGGGUCUCGGUCACAGUUACAUUUGAGACAACUUAUACAUGUUAUACUCUAUUCAAUUGGCAUACCUUUAACCUACAAGACUUUUGUCGCGCAAAAUACAGUGAUUAUACUCUAAGUUUUUUAAUGCUAAGUGAAGCCAAGGUGUAAAAGGAUUCCACGUAACCAUCCUGUCUCUAAAAAUAAUGUAACUGUGUGUUUAUAAAAAGCACCACAUCUAAGCUUGUAGGCCGGAUUCUGAUCUCAUUUACACUGGUGUAAAUCCAGAUAAAUCCCACUGAAGUCUAUGGGGCUAAUCCGGAUUUAUGCUGGUGUUCCUGAGAUCAGAUGCAGAUCCUGGUACGUGAAAUAAAGAGCUCUGAUUCUUAAGUAUUUAUUCUGCAACUGAUAUCCUCGUCAUUUCUGCAGACAGACAACCAGAACCUAAUUCUUGCUACACAUACUAACGUAAUUCCUAUAAAUCCCCUUGAAUUUUUAUGAUGGGGGUGUCUUUGCCUUAUAGAGUUAUGUGUGUAUCUAAAUUACAUUCCUUUCUUACCAGCAGAGGGAGCCCAGACCCACUUCCUGAGCUCUGAGACUGUUCAAUCAAGUCUUUCAGGGAUUCCCCUGGAGGAAUUUCAUAAGCCGGGGUGGGGGUGUGAUGUUGGGAAGAAAUGUGAAGCAGACGACGCUUAAAUACUUCCGGCUUACCUGAAGUAACAGAAUAUGAUGAUAAGCACCAGGAGUAUACUGCAAACAGUCACUGAGAUCAGCAAGGCCUUAUGGUGAAUGUUUCCUUCAACAAAAUCUGAUUUAAAAAAUAAAAAAAGCUCUGUACAAUGGCUGUAUUUUUGUCUUAGAAGUCAGCACUACUCUCUAAUACCUGAGAUGCCUUUCACAUUAGGUUGGGUGUAAAAUGCAUUCUGCCUUCCUCGGUUUAGUUUCACAUGUAAAAAGACAUACAAGAAUUUAUAAAUCUAUUAAGCAACAGAAUUGUCCCCUUUCUUUUCGACUUGUUUAACGUUGUGUAACGUAUUACUUGAUUUCAGAGCCAUUUUAUGUGCUCCUUCUUCAGCCCUCAUCCAAUGGGGCAAACAUAGCACAUGGAACAGCAAUCGAGGGCCUGACUGACCCUGAAGUCUUUACUCAGACAAAGAUCUCACUGGUAACCCUGGCACUUUUGACUGCGUUUGCAAGGGAGUAUUUUAGCCCUUCAUGACCAACCCGCUAGCCCCCCACCCCCUCAAACCUGGGAUUUAUAUAGUCCUGUAUCUUACAUAUCUUGUCAGCUAGGACACA